rnacentral:lncRNA from 1 species
GACUGGAUUAAAGGCAUGCACCACCACACCCCACACUGGAUAUAUUCUGCUCCACCCUUAGGUGUAUGUAGCAGGAGGUCCUAUACACGAGUCCACAGAGGGACUCUUAAAUCCUGUUCACAGCAGUCUGUUCCUGGUGGCAGAAAUCUGGAAACGGCCCGAGCACACUUGCUGAGAGGAGAAUGGAUGAAUGAAUUGCACACCCAUAGAGCAGAGUACUACUCUGCCAUUAAAAUAAAUGAGCAGCAUGCAGAAACAGCAUUGGGGACUCUCCAAAACAGCAUGUUGCUCUAAAGAAGCCAGACACAAAGACUGCACACUGUGAUCUACCAAGGCAAAUGAACCCACAGCAGAGGAAGUGGCUUGGUGGGGGGGGCGCNNNNNNNNNNNNNNNNNNNNNNNNNGGCAGUGGGAGGGACCCAUCUGUGAGAUGAAGGCGAGGUCUGGUUCACAUGGUGGCACCAGGGAGAUGCUCCGGUGACACACAGUGCAAAGCUUGCCCCAGGGUAACCCCUUGUCCAUCCCUGGGCUUUGUCAAGAUGCAGCCAGAGGCUGGUCCACAAGAAGCAAUUGGUGGCUUCACGCAGCUCCCUGGGGAAAGCCCUCACUGCCGGAAUCACGUGCAGCCCCCAGUCACGGGUCUGUGGUGCGUCACGAUCAUGAGUCUGCGGCGAUGAGAGCUCCGUGAUUCACACAUGUCAAGGUUGAUGAGGAUAUUGAGGAGUCGCUUCCUCAGGGGGAUAAUAGAAAACAACGUCUCUAAAUAUUUCAUUUCUUUCAAGAGAUGUCACAUCAGCUCACUGUCGAAGCGUUGAUUCAUUUCAGGGUUUUGUAUUUGGUUAAGGACAAAAAGAAAAAAAAUCUCCUUGGCAAAGACAGUGAAGGGCUGAGGGGAAGCAGCAGAUUCUUGUCAGUGUUUGGGAAACGCAGAGGGAAACCUUGCUUCUUUUCCCUGCUUCCUGCUUCCAAGGUCUCUUUGGAUUCUGGAAACAGAGAGUCUGUGAAGCCAGUGACACCCUCAAACCAUUCAAAGGAGUUGCGUUUACACCAACAUGCCUGCAUCAUUCUUAGAAAAAGGGGAGCAGGAGGAGGAAAAGGAGGAGACACGAUAAAAACCAGCUCUGAGGACUCCCUCUUCUGGGCUUACUGGCAGCUCCAAAUUCUCAUUUGCGUCAAUUAAGCAAUGAAAAGGAAAGGGAAGAGGGAAAUGAAUUUGUUACUUUCUUUAGUUGGGGUUCCUGUCGCUGUGAUGAAACACCAUGACCAAAGCAAGUAGGGGAGGAAAGGGUUUAUUUCGCUUAUACUUCCACAUCACAGUACAU